rnacentral:rRNA from 1 species
UACGGAGGGUGCAAGCGUUGUCCGGAUUUAUUGGGUUUAAAGGGUGCGUAGGCGGCUUUUUAAGUCAGUGGUGAAAGACAACAGCUCAACUGUUGCAGUGCCAUUGAUACUGAAGAGCUUGAGUACAGAUGAGGUAGGCGGAAUUUAUGGUGUAGCGGUGAAAUGCAUAGAUACCAUAAAAGAACACCUAUUGCGAAGGCAGCUUACUAGCUGUAACUGACGCUGAGGG